UAGGGAAUCUUCCACAAUGGACGCAAGUCUGAUGGAGCAACGCCGCGUGAGUGAAGAAGGUCUUCGGAUCGUAAAACUCUGUUGUUAGAGAAGAACACGAGUGAGAGUAACUGUUCAUUCGAUGACGGUAUCUAACCAGCAAGUCACGGCUAACUACGUGCCAGCAGCCGCGGUAAUACGUAGGUGGCAAGCGUUGUCCGGAUUUAUUGGGCGUAAAGGGAACGCAGGCGGUCUUUUAAGUCUGAUGUGAAAGCCUUCGGCUUAACCGGAGUAGUGCAUUGGAAACUGGAAGACUUGAGUGCAGAAGAGGAGAGUGGAACUCCAUGUGUAGCGGUGAAAUGCGUAGAUAUAUGGAAGAACACCAGUGGCGAAAGCGGCUCUCUGGUCUGUAACUGACGCUGAGGUUCGAAAGCGUGGGUAGCAAACAGGAUUAGAUACCCUGGUAGUCCACGCCGUAAACGAUGAAUGCUAGGUGUUGGAGGGUUUCCGCUCUUCAGUGCCGCAGCUAACGCAAUAAGCAUUCCGCCUGGGGAGUACGACCGCAAGGUUG
rnacentral:rRNA from 1 species